rnacentral:misc_RNA from 1 species
AACGCACAUUGCGCCCCUUGGUAUUCCGAGGGGCAUGCCUGUUCGAGCGUCAUUUCACCAAUCAAGCCACGCUUGGUGUUGGGUGCCAGGCCCGGUCCCUUCGCGGCCGGGCCCACCCCGAAACCAUCGGCGAGGACUGCGACCCCCGGCGUGUUAGUCAAUUCUACGCCUGGAGCACCGUGGGAUUCUGCCGCGAAACAAAACCACAUCAAAGGUUGACCUCGGAUCAGGUAGGGAUACCCGCUGAACUUAA